rnacentral:lncRNA from 1 species
ACACUUUCAGCUGCUACUUUUGAAAUUGGGAGGGGAGCAAAUAUACGCUGGUCCAUUAGGCCGCCACUGUUCCCAUCUGAUUCAGUACUUUGAGGUGAAUUUCUAGUGUAAAUGAGAUAUAACACAAAUAUAACAUAAGAGGCUUCUGUAGCAUUAUAAAUCUAGCAUAUUCACUAUAGUGCAUUAUUGAAAUAGGCUAUUGAAGGAGUUCCUAAGAUCAAAGAUGGUUAUAACCCUGCAACUUGGAUGUUGGAAGUAACAUCAGCAGGAACAGAAGCAAGUCUUAAGGUCAACUUCACCAAUGUGUACAGAAACUCAGAACUAUAUCGGUUAGACUCCUAACUCCACAUGUUGUAAUCAGUAGUUUGGUCUCUUUUCACAUUUCCUUUUUGUGUUUCUAACUCUCACUAUCUGUUUUAACCUUCUCUUUUCAAUUUUAUAUGCAUUGCUGUCACUUUUUUUAAUGUGGUUCCUCUUUCCAAACAAUUGUUUAGAAAGUGAACACAAAUGUGUUCUCAAAGUAAAGGGACUCAACUGUUGAUGGUUUAGAUGUAGCUUUUUUUCAAGAUUUUGAUCAAUUACUCACUGAUGCUUCCAAUUGUUUAGGAGAAACAAACAAUUGAUCCAAGAGCUUAGUAUACCACCUCAAGGUUCAAAGGAUCUACACUUUGAUAGUCAGUAUUCACAGACUUUGGUGGCACAAUGUGAAGCUUGCCUAUGGAAACAACAUUUAUCAUACUGGAGGAAUACAUCAUAUACUGCAGUUAGACUCCUAUUCACAAUACUAAUAGCAUUACUAUUUGGUAUCAUAUUUUGGGACAUUGGCCUGAAAAGGUAUGUGAAAAAGCAACAAUACAUUGAGAUAAAAUAAACAAAGUGAUGUGAAAAUGAAAUUUAUCACUUAGUUGGUUAAUAACUACAAAAUAAUGAAAAUCACAGGAGAAAACAGCAAGAUCUUUUCAAUGCUAUGGGGUCAAUGUAUGCUGCAGUUACCUUCAUUGGAGUACAGAAUGCUGCCUCAGUGCAGCCUAUAAUAGCUGUAGAGAGAACAGUUUUUUACAGAGAGAGAGCUGCAGGAAUGUAUUCAGCUUUGCCAUAUGCAAUUGCACAGGUAAAGUACUAACUUCAAUACAUAAAAAAAGCAACAAGAUUGCCACAUUUUUUCUUUAAGGAGUGCUAGCAAUUAGUAACACACUUCUUCAAAUCCACAUUGUUGAUUUAUUAAAAAGAGUACAAAAUCACUAGUAAGACUGAGAAGUGAGUCUAAUAAAUUUUAGAGAAUGAUAGACUAUGUUCAAAAUAAUGUGUUAGAAAAUGUUUUCUAGUUGUUUCAACCUCAAAUCUACUUUCAUCUUUAAUUUUCAAUAGACAUGGCAAACUAAAUGGAAUAGAAAUAAAUUCUAUUUUGAAUUAUCUUUAAUCUUCUAUUCUAAACUACUUUUUUUAUGUAUACAUAUCUGUCAUACUCUAAAAGAAGAACAUAAAUUUAUUGAUCAUUGAAUUGUAAAGUUGAACUCUAACAAUUGUUUUGUAUUUGCAGGUUAUUAUUGAACUUCCCCACAUCUUGGUUCAGACCCUGAUGUAUGGGAUUAUAGUAUAUGCCAUGAUGGGAUUGGAUUGGACCACAUCAAAGUUCUUGUGGUAUCUUUUCUUCAUGUACUUCACUUUCUUAUACUACACCUUAUAUGGUAUGAUGACCAUGGCCAUCACCCCCAAUGCACAUGUUGCUGCCAUAUUGUCCAGUGCUUUCUUUGCAAUAUGGAGCCUUUUCUCAGGCUUCAUCAUUCCCUUAUCUGUGAGUCACACAACCUUGUUCACAUUUUUUUCUUAUGUCACUUCCUAAUGGUUACUUGGGUUUGCUUUUUUAUGGUUUAAUCUUUAUCUAACACCCUCUAAGCAUAGAAGUUGUGAAUUUAAACUAAGACUUUGAAGCAUAUCAACAUGCAAUUUUACUGGUUUACAAAAUCUAAUGCCAUAACAAACACUCUUCUUAAUACAAACUUUAGUCUUCGUUAAAAUUUAUUAUAAACUACAAAAUUACCAAGAGUCAUUUAGAGAACAUGUGACAUCCACACAUUUUUAUGUUUUAUAACAAGUUUCAACUAGUAAGAGAUUACGUAUGAAAGAGAAAUAUUAGGAAGUUUAACUCAAUCUUAUAAAAUUGAUUCAUAACACUACAAGAAAAUCAUGAAAUAGAAACUAAUUUUUAGAGACCAAAAUAAUUAGGUGCAAUAGUAACUAAAUUAGAGACCAUUUUAGAAACUAAAAAAAAAUUGGUUUCUAAAUUAGUUUAUAUUAUUGUUAAAUAGUUUCUAAAUUAGUAUCAACCAAGGUUUUAACUAACAAUUUUUUAGUUUUUAAAUUUGGUAGCUAAAACCUUGGUUGAUACUAAUUUAGAAACUAUUUAACAAUAAUAGAAACUAAUUUAGAAACCAAUUUUUUUUUUUAGUUUUUAAAAUGGUCUCUAAUUUAGUUACUAUUGUAAUUAAUUAUUUUGGUCUCUAAAAAUUGGUUUCUAUUUCAUGAUUUUCUUGUAGUGUGAGGUGAGGUUUGUAUUCACUUAUAAACUAUCAAAUGUCUUUAUCCAUGUGAUCUCUAACACAUUCCCUCAUGCGUGAGACUAUAUAUUUAUGGAUGAUACAACAACAGUCUAAUAGUGGAUGAACUCUCAUUAUGAUAGGUUUUAAAUGACUUUGAUAUCAUAUUAAGGGAACUUUAAACAUAAUUCAACCUCGCAAGAUGAUUCAUAAAGUGGAGUUUACACCUACUUAUAUAAUAUGAAAUAUCUACUUAUAUAAUAUGAAAUAUCCUUAUUUAUGUGAGAACUCAAAAAUAUGAGUUUCUCUUAUGAGUUUCUCUUGCCUAGUGUGAAUCUUGUCUAGUGUGAAUGAGAUGAACUAACUUUGUUUAAAUAAACACAAUUACAGAGAAUACCUAUAUGGUGGAAGUGGUACUAUUGGAUUUGCCCAGUUGCAUGGACCUUGAAUGGAUUGGUGGCUUCCCAAUAUGGAGAUGACAAGCACAAAC